rnacentral:tRNA from 1 species
GGGGUUGUAGCUCAAUGGUAGAGCGCUUGCCUUGCAUGUGUGAGGCACUGAGUUCAAUUGUCAGCACCA